rnacentral:rRNA from 1 species
UGGGGAAUAUUGGACAAUGGGGGGAACCCUGAUCCAGCCAUGCCGCGUGUGUGAAGAAGGCCUUAUGGUUGUAAAGCACUUUAAGCGAGGAGGAGGGUACUGGUAUUAAUACUACCAGGUACUGGACGUUACUCGCAGAAUAAGCACCGGCUAACUCUGUGCCAGCAGCCGCGGUAAUACAGAGGGUGCGAGCGUUAAUCGGAUUUACUGGGCGUAAAGCGUGCGUAGGCGGCUAAUUGAGUCGGAUGUGAAAUCCCCGAGCUUAACUUGGGAAUUGCAUUCGAUACUGGUUAGCUAGAGUGUGGGAGAGGAUGGUAGAAUUCCAGGUGUAGCGGUGAAAUGCGUAGAGAUCUGGAGGAAUACCGAUGGCGAAGGCAGCCACCUGGCCUAACACUGACGCUGAGGUACGAAAGCAUGGGGAGCAAACAGG